AAACUUUCAACAACGGAUCUCUUGGCUCUCGCAUCGAUGAAGAACGCAGCGAAAUGUGAUAAGUAAUGUGAAUUGCAGAAUUCAGUGAAUCAUCGAAUCUUUGAACGCAUCUNGCACUCCUUGGUAUUCCGAGGAGUAUGCCUGUUUGAGUGUC
rnacentral:rRNA from 1 species